rnacentral:rRNA from 1 species
GAUGAACGCUGGCGGCGUGCCUAAUACAUGCAAGUCGAGCGAACAGACGAGGAGCUUGCUCCUCUGACGUUAGCGGCGGACGGGUGAGUAACACGUGGAUAACCUACCUAUAAGACUGGGAUAACUUCGGGAAACCGGAGCUAAUACCGGAUAAUAUAUUGAACCGCAUGGUUCAAUAGUGAAAGACGGUUUUGCUGUCACUUAUAGAUGGAUCCGCGCCGCAUUAGCUAGUUGGUAAGGUAACGGCUUACCAAGGCAACGAUGCGUAGCCGACCUGAGAGGGUGGUCGGCCACACUGGCACUGAGACACGGUCCAGACUCCUACGGGAGGCAGCAGUAGGGAAUCUUCCGCAAUGGGCGAAAGCUUGACGGAGCAACGCCGCGUGAGUGAUGAAGGUCUUCGGAUCGUAAAACUCUGUUAUUAGGGAAGAACAAAUGUGUAAGUAACUAUGCACGUCUUGACGGUACCUAAUCAGAAAGCCACGGCUAACUACGUG